UACGUAGGGGGCUAGCGUUGUCCGGAAUCAUUGGGCGUAAAGAGCGUGUAGGCGGCCCGGUAAGUCCGCUGUGAAAGUCGGGGGCUCAACCCUCGAAUGCCGGUGGAUACUGUCGGGCUAGAGUGCGGAAGAGGCGAGUGGAAUUCCUGGUGGUAGCGGUGAAAUGCGCAGAUAUCAGGAGGAACACCGAUUGCGAAGGCAGCUCGCUGGGACGUAACUGACGCUGAGACGCGAAAGCGUGGGGAGCAAACAGG
rnacentral:rRNA from 1 species